UACAGAGGGUGCGAGCGUUAAUCGGAAUUACUGGGCGUAAAGGGCGCGUAGGUGGUUAAUUAAGUCAGAUGUGAAAUCCCCGGGCUUAACCUGGGAAUUGCAUAUGAAACUGAUUGGCUAGAGUGCGGGAGAGGGAAGUGGAAUUUCCGGUGUAGCGGUGAAAUGCGUAGAUAUCGGAAGGAACACCAGUGGCGAAGGCGACUUCCUGGCCCGAAACUGACACUGAGGCGCGAAAGCGUGGGGAGCGAACAGG
rnacentral:rRNA from 1 species